AGGGGCCGCUGGGGGGCAGGAGCCAUAGGAGCCAAAGCCUGGGGGCCCGAAGGAAGGGGCCCUCACGAAGGUCAGAUCUGAGAUCACUCUUCCUUCCCUGGAGCAGAGGUCGCUGUGCAUUCUGGAUGCUAGCUCUGUGCUUGCAGGUCCCCGUUAAGUCUGAGCAAGAGCCCUGCCGUAUUUCCUGGUUCUGCUGGCUGCCCGGGCAAUUCAGUCUCAUUCCUGUCAUCUGACCUCAUGCUCCAGGUUGGCCAGACCAGUAUCCACAAGGAAGAGUCUUACAGGUUCAUUUGUUUGCUUUCCUCACUGCAGCCCUUAGAAGUCCUGGCUGCAUCUUAAAUCUUACAAGAGUCCUUCAGAGUCCAGAGGCAAGACAUAUGUCAGGACAACUGGUGAUGGCCCUAAGGCAGUGGGAAACCUUGGUCUUUUUAAGCUCAUUUUAUCUGAGGCAAUACCC